GAUGAAGAACGCAGCGAAAUGCGAUAAGUAAUGUGAAUUGCAGAAUUCAGUGAAUCAUCGAAUCUUUGAACGCACAUUGCGCCCGCCAGUAUUCUGGCGGGCAUGCCUGUUCGAGCGUCAUUACAACCCUCAGGCCCCCGGGCCUGGCGUUGGGGAUCGGCGGAGCCCCCCGUGGGCACACGCCGUCCCCCAAAUGCAGUGGCGGUCCCGCCGCAGCUUCCAUCGCGUAGUAGCUAACACCUCGCGACUGGAUAGCGGCGCGGCCACGCCGUAAAACACCCAACUCUUCUGAAGUUGACCUCGAAUCAGGUAGGAAUACCCGCUGAACUUAAGCAUAUCAAUAAGCGGAGGA
rnacentral:misc_RNA from 1 species